AUCCAGAUAACGAAUCUCAAAUAGGAUGAAACCCGCUUCCUGGAU
rfam:Schistosoma mansoni strain Puerto Rico chromosome 6, complete genome